rnacentral:rRNA from 1 species
UACAUAGGUCUCAAGCGUUGUUCGGAUUUAUUGGGCGUAAAGAGCGUGUAGGCGGCCAGGUAGGUCCGUUGUGAAAACUCGAGGCUCAACCUCGAGACGUCGAUGGAAACCAUCUGGCUAGAGUCCGGAAGAGGAGAGUGGAAUUCCUGGUGUAGCGGUGAAAUGCGCAGAUAUCAGGAAGAACACCUAUGGCGAAGGCAGCUCUCUGGGACGGUACUGACGCUGAGACGCGAAAGCGUGGGGGGCGAAAAGG